rnacentral:ncRNA from 1 species
UUUCGGCUCACGAUUUGUCUGGUACGUCGGGAAAAAAGUCAAUUAUGAAUGUAAUUGAUCUGACUACCGUGCGUAACGGAAUUCAAAUGUGUGUUUGAUGGACUUUAUUUGCAAUCGGCGCUCAAUGUGUUUUCUUAUAUCGGUGGCGUCAAUGUUAGCCUCCCAUCCGACCCGUCUUGAAACACGGACCAAGGAGUUCAGUAGGCACGCGAGUCGUUGACGUUUUUCAUUGAACAGUCGAAGGCGAAAUGAAAGUGUUAAUGAAAAUGAACUGUACUUCUUUAUGGAGUGCUGUUCAAUUUUUCAACAUGAUCGUCCUUUUUUGUGCUUAAUUGUGCAAAAUAAUAGAUGUAUGGGGACGCGCAGUGUGGUGCCGUUGAAUAGUCGCACUGUUCUCUCUUUCUCUUCGGGGUUGGAGGAACAAUUGUCGAUCAGUCGGUUUCGGAGCGUGCACACUGGUACCCGAAAGAUGGUGAACUAUGCUUGAGCAGAAUGAAGCCAGAGGAAACUCUGGUGGAAGUUCGGAAACGCGGGUUGGACGUUGGCAAAAUCUACUCCGUCCUGACCUGGAGGUGGUAGGGCCGAAAGACUAAUCUGAACCCAUCUUAGUUUGCCUGGGUUCCCCUCCAUGAAGGUUUCCCCCUCAAGGUGAGAGCUUGGCAA